rnacentral:rRNA from 2 species
UUAUAGAGGGCUACGGCUCCCUGUAUACAUUUUACCAUAAUGAUAUUCAUUCUAUGUUGCUUCCAUCACUGUCAUGGUGGUGGGGGGUUUUUUCAUACUAUUAUUUUUGCUAAGACUUUCAAUGUGUCUGAAUAUGAGGGGAAAUAUUACAAAACUUUCAACAACGGAUCUCUUGGCUCCUGCAUCGAUGAAGAACGCAGCGAAAUGCGAUAAUUAAUGUGAAUUGCAGAAUUCCGUGAAUCAUCGAGUCUUUGAACGCACAUUGCGCCUCAUGGUAUUCCGUGAGGCAUGCCCAUCUCAGCGUCAUUAAAUAUCAUCAAAUUUUGACAGUGUGUCGAUAUUUGGAUCAUGUCAGGGAAGCUAUUUCUAUUCAUAUGGAUAGCUCCUUGGAAAUAGAUAGGUCUUAAAGGUGCUAUCAUUAGAACGUGAUGAAAAUUCCUUCGUUCAAAUGUAGGUCACUUCUUUAGUCCUGAAACUUCUAUGCCUUGUAGGUAUAUUUUUAAUUUGACCUGAGAUUGGGUAGGGAUACCCGCUGAACUUAAGCAUAUCAAUAAGC